rnacentral:rRNA from 1 species
AGUGAACGCUGGCGGUAGGCCUAACACAUGCAAGUCGAACGGCAGCACAGUAAGAGCUUGCUCUUACGGGUGGCGAGUGGCGGACGGGUGAGUAAUACAUCGGAAUCUACUUUUUCGUGGGGGAUAACGUAGGGAAACUUACGCUAAUACCGCAUACGACCUACGGGUGAAAGCAGGGGAUCUUCGGACCUUGCGCGAUUGAAUGAGCCGAUGUCGGAUUAGCUAGUUGGCGGGGUAAAGGCCCACCAAGGCGACGAUCCGUAGCUGGUCUGAGAGGAUGAUCAGACACACUGGAACUGAGACACGGUCCAGACACCUACGGGAGGCAGCAGUGGGGAAUAUUGGACAAUGGGCGCAAGCCUGAUCCAGCCAUACCGCGUGGGUGAAGAAGGCCUUCGGGUUGUAAAGCCCUUUUGUUGGGAAAGAAAAGCAGCAGGUUAAUACCCCGCUGUUCUGACGGUACCCAAAGAAUAAGCACCGGCUAACUUCGUG